CAACACAACCGCCGCCUCUUCUCUUCUAUCGUCGCCAUCGCCUCGUCGGAUCUGGGGAGAAAGAGAGUGUGAGGCUCCUUCCUCUUUGCCUCUCUUGCACGCAACCUCCGCCGCUUCUCCUGCGCCUUGUCCUCCCCGUUCCUCUCUCAUAGCCGAGCUCCAACCCUCCACCAUCCCCUCCUCCUUGACCGCCUCUCCCCUUGUCUGAAGGAGCACGGGGCUCGCAGCUGCGCCUGAGCCGCCACAAGGCCGUCAGGUAGAGGAGAUCCGGUGCCCACGGGCCGUUCACGCCGCUGUCCGAGGUCUCGGAGUUGACAGAGUUGCCGUCGUCAUACGAAGACGAGUCGGCGGGGAGAUGCUGGUGUUGGGAUUCGGGAGGGUCCAAUCUGCAGCAAAUCCUUGGGAGAUAUGACGCAAAGCCAACAAAUUUAAUGUGAAGUCCAUAUCCUCUGUUUCUCUGUUGGAAUGCUCGACGGCUUGCUGGCUGCAGAAGAGCUUCCUGGGGAAUACCGGAACCGAUGCCAGGAUAUACUCUGUAACGACUGCGGAAGAAAAGGGCUUUCUCGGUUCCACUGGCUGUAUCACAAAUGAGGACGAGGUCGAGCCCCCUCCCGCCGCAAUCUCCUUUUGAGGCUAUUCAACUUCGCCGACGGCCUCGACUGGGCACUCAUGGCCGCUGGCACAGUCGCCGCCGCCGCCCACGAUGCAGCAUUCCUAGUCUACCUGCACUAAUGGUCCUUGAAUUUUCUCGACACUGAGCGGAUUUAGUCUGCUCUCCACGGUCGUAGCGACGAGCCCCUCAACCAAUUUAAGCAGGUAAACCGUUGCUUCGCAUGCUCGUCUCUUAAUUGCACGCUUGACAAGGCCUACAACGUGAUAUUUACUUGAGGAGGACCCUCUGCGGUGCUAGGUAGGUAUCCGGCCCUUGGAUUGCCUUUUUUUGCUAAUUGGUGGCAGACAUGCAGAUAUAGCUGAAAGCAGAUUCAGUUUGAGGUGGCAAUCAGUUGUAUAGCUGGUUAAACUAUGCAUUUAGAUGUAUGUUAGCUGCUUCAAAAUGAAGGGGACACAGUUUUUGAUA